UACGGAGGGUGCAAGCGUUGUCCGGAAUUACUGGGCGUAAAGCGCGCGUAGGCGGACCUGCAAGUCGGGGGUGAAAGCCCGAGGCUCAACCUCGGAACUGCCUCCGAUACUGCGGGUCUCGAGUCCGGGAGAGGUGAGUGGAAUUCCUAGUGUAGAGGUGAAAUUCGUAGAUAUUAGGAAGAACACCAGUGGCGAAGGCGGCUCACUGGCCCGGUACUGACGCUGAGGCGCGAAAGCGUGGGGAGCAAACAGG
rnacentral:rRNA from 1 species